AAUACUAAUGUCCCUAGUUAAUGCCAGGAAGAUAUAUAGCCGCGUAGUCAUAGAUUCUGACUGGCAAAUAAACUGAUACUGGCUUUCAGAGGUUAAUAAUGACGAUGCUCGAUUAUUCCGGACUCAUUUAAUCACUGUCUGUACAACGGGGCCUGUAGCAGAUGCUUUUUUGUGAAUCAGGAACUUCCAAAGCAAACAGUACGGAAUGACUGUGGUAUCAACAUGUUGAUGACAGUGUCUUUUGACCAGCACAUCACCAGAAGCAACAAAUGCAAGGAAGAACAGGAGUCCUGCCAGGAGUUUUGCUCAGCCACUGAGGAUCCUUUAAAUGCAUUUCUGUUGUGGUCUGUAAUGUAAGCAGGAAGCAAGUGCAAGUGUUGAGCUGAUUUAUUUGGGGAUAAGAAGCAGGGAAACAGGUGACACCAUAGUUUUCUUUGAAUUUUAACCCAACGCACCAGUGGCCUUCACCAACAUUUAUCAGUGAGUACUUCUCUAGCAAGGUUUUAAUGCGUGAGUAAGGGAAAAAUUGUGUAUUUAUAAAAACUGGAAAAUGA